GGGAAGGUGUCGGGGAGCGGUCACGGUGCUUCUGGCAUGAGGAACUGGGAGGCCGGAGAUGCCAUUUGUCAAACCGGACGACAGAGCAGGAGCGAGUGGAGGUUUUAGAUGCCUGCGGGACAGGCGGGCGGGGCAGCCAGAUUCUUUCCACCAUGGCCAGACGCCCCCGGAACAGCAGGGCCUGGCACUUCGUCCUGAGUGCAGCCCGCCGAGACGCAGAUGCCCGGGCCGUGGCUCUAGCAGGCUCCACUAACUGGGGCUACGACUCUGAUGGGCAGCACAGCGACUCGGACUCCGACCCCGAGUACUCCACGCUGCCGCCAUCCAUCCCCAGUGCAGUGCCCGUGACCGGCGAGUCCUUCUGUGACUGUGCUGGGCAGAGCGAGGCCUCCUUCUGUAGCAGCCUGCACUCGGCCCACCGGGGCAAGGACUGCCGCUGUGGAGAGGAAGACGAGUGUGAGCGUGGGGCCCAGCCCCUGCUGGGACUGCACUGCGGGCGGGCCUGGGGGCGGGCAGGGCAGAGCCCCAUGGAGCUCUCAGGGCUGCCCCAGCCUGGGCCUCUCUUGCAGAUUUCGACUGGGUCUGGGAUGACUUGAAUAAGUCAUCAGCCACCCUGCUGAGCUGUGACAACCGUAAGGUCAGCUUCCACAUGGAGUACAGCUGCGGCACAGCGGCCAUCCGGGGCACCAAGGAGCUGGGGGAGGGCCAGCACUUCUGGGAGAUCAAGAUGACCUCUCCCGUCUACGGCACCGACAUGAUGGUGGGCAUCGGGACGUCGGAUGUGGACCUGGACAAAUACCGCCACACGUUCUGCAGCCUGCUGGGCAGGGAUGAGGACAGCUGGGGCCUCUCCUACACGGGUGCGUGAGGCCCAGGGUGGGGCGGGGCCGAGCCUGGAGCUCCCGGGCUCACUGCGACCCUGGCUGCCCCCAGGCCUCCUCCACCACAA
rnacentral:sRNA from 1 species